rnacentral:rRNA from 1 species
CCUACGGGAGGCAGCAGUAGGGAAUAUUGCUCAAUGGGGGAAACCCUGAAGCAGCAACGCAGCGUGGAGGAUGACGGUUUUCGGAUUGUAAACUCCUUUUGUUAGAGAAGAUAAUGACGGUAUCUAACGAAUAAGCACCGGCUAACUCCGUGCCAGCAGCCGCGGUAAUACGGAGGGUGCAAGCGUUACUCGGAAUCACUGGGCGUAAAGCGCGCGUAGGCGGGAUAGCAAGUCAGAUGUGAAAUCCUAUGGCUUAACCAUAGAACUGCAUUUGAAACUGUUAGUCUAGAGUAUGGGAGAGGUAGGUGGAAUUCUUGGUGUAGGGGUAAAAUCCGUAGAGAUCAAGAGGAAUACUCAUUGCGAAGGCGACCUGCUAGAACAUAACUGACGCUGAUGCGCGAAAGCGUGGGGAGCAAACAGGAUUAGAUACCCCAGUAGUC